GCGACGGGUGAGUACACGUGGGCAAUCUGCCCUUCACUCUGGGACAAGCCCUGGAAACGGGGUCUAAUACCGGAUAACACUCCUGCCUGCAUGGGUGGGGGUUAAAAGCUCCGGCGGUGAAGGAUGAGCCCGCGGCCUAUCAGCUUGUUGGUGAGGUAGUGGCUCACCAAGGCGACGACGGGUAGCCGGCCUGAGAGGGCGACCGGCCACACUGGGACUGAGACACGGCCCAGACUCCUACGGGAGGCAGCAGUGGGGAAUAUUGCACAAUGGGCGAAAGCCUGAUGCAGCGACGCCGCGUGAGGGAUGACGGCCUUCGGGUUGUAAACCUCUUUCAGCAGGGAAGAAGCGAAAGUGACGGUACCUGCAGAAGAAGCGCCGGCUAACUACGUGCCAGCAGCC
rnacentral:rRNA from 1 species